rnacentral:rRNA from 2 species
AUAUCAAUAAGCGGAGGAAAAGAAACUAACAAGGAUUCCCCUAGUAACGGCGAGUGAAGCGGGAUGAGCUCAAGCUUAAAAUCUCCGUGCAAGUUUUGCGCGGCGAAUUGUAGUCUAUAGAGGCGUGGUCAGCGUGGGCACUUGGGGCAAGUUCCUUGGAAGAGGACAGCAUGGAGGGUGAUACUCCCGUUCAUCCCUGAGUCGCUCAUGCGUACGACCCGUUUUCUUUGAGUCGCGUUGUUUGGGAAUGCAGCGCAAAGUAGGUGGUAAAUUCCAUCUAAAGCUAAAUAUUGGUGCGAGACCGAUAGCGAACAAGUACCGUGAGGGAAAGAUGAAAAGAACUUUGAAAAGAGAGUUAAAGAGUACCUGAAACUGCUGAAAGGGAACCGAAUCGUUUCCAGUGUCUAUAAUCCGUGGCAUAUUUCAUUGGCGAGUGUGUGCGUGCGUGUGCUGUGGCAGUGGCUUUUUUGGCUGCGCUCGGUGUGUGUGCUGUGUGUGCUUGCUGGUGCCCUGUGCUGCGGUGGGACGUCAAGGUCAGUUCGUAUGCUGCGGGAAAUGGCUGCCGAGGAGGUAGGGCUUACGCUUGCGUUUGUCUGUUAUAUCUUGGUGGACGAGUCGUCGCGGUUGGGACUGAGGUGCCUACAACGUGCUUUUGAGUGGGUUUGUGUCUCCGUGUGCGCCGUGUGCGGAUAGCUUGCUAUGCGUGUGUGGUUGUGUGUGGAUUGAUGCGGGCUUUAACUUGUUGCCGUUCGGGACGUUGACGAAAUGGAGCGAUCCGACCCGUCUUGAAACACGGACCAAGGAGUCUAACAUGUGU